rnacentral:rRNA from 1 species
CCAGACUCCUACGGGAGGCAGCAGUGGGGAAUAUUGCACAAUGGGGGAAACCCUGAUGCAGCGACGCCGCGUGUGGGAAGACGGUCUUCUGGAUUGUAAACCACUGUCCCCAGGGACGAAAAUGACGGUACCUGGGGAGGAAGCUCCGGCUAACUACGUGCCAGCAGCCGCGGUAAUACGUAGGGAGCAAGCGUUGUCCGGAAUUACUGGGUGUAAAGGGGGCGCAGACGGCAGCGCAAGCCAGGAGUGAAAGCCCGGGGCCGAACCCCGGGACUGCUCUUGGAACUGCGCGGCUAGAGUGCAGGAGGGGCAGGCGGAAUUCCUGGUGUAGCGGUGAAAUGCGUAGAUAUCAGGAGGAACACCGGUGGCGAAGGCGGCCUGCUGGACUGCAACUGACGUUGAGGCCCGAAAGCGUGGGGAGCAAACAGGAUUAGAUACCCCCGUACAC